rnacentral:SRP_RNA from 1 species
GCUGGGUGCGGUGGCACGUGCCUGUAGUCCCAGCUACUUGGGAGGCUGAGGUGGGAGAUUCGCUUGAGCCCAGGAAUUCUGGGCUGUAGUGUGCUAUGCUGAUCGGAUGUCCGCACUAAGUUCAGCAUCAAUAUGAUGACCUCCCGGGAGUGGGGGACCACCAGGUUGCCUAAGGAGGGAUGAACCGGCCCAGGUCGGAAAUGGAACAGGUCAAAACUCCCUUGCUGAUCAGUAGUGGGAUCGCACCUGUGAAUAGCCACUGCACUCCAGUCUGGGCAAUGUAGCGAGACCCCAUCUCU